rnacentral:tRNA from 1 species
GCCCCUAUCGUCUAGAGGUUAGGACACCGCUCUUUCAAGGCGGAGACACGGGUUCAAUUCCCGUUGGGGGUG